rnacentral:rRNA from 1 species
CACCAGCAGCUCAAGUGGUGAUCACGUUUACUGGGUUUAAAGGGUGCGUAGUCGGUUUAGCAAGUUUUCUGUGAAAUCCUGGCGCUUAACGUCAGGGAUUGCAGAAAAUACUACUAGGCUAGAGACCGGGGUAGGAGUGAGGUAUUCUAGGGGUAGCGGUGAAAUGCUAUAAUCCCUGGAGGACCACCAGUAGCGAAGGCGUCACUCUGGAACGGGUCUGACGAUGAGGUACGAGAGCUAGGGGAGCAAACAG